CUCCUACGGGACGCAGCAGUGGGGAAUCUUCCGCAAUGGGCGAAAGCCUGACGGAGCAACGCCGCGUGAUCGAAUGAAGGCCUUCGGGUUGUAAAGAUCUGUUGACAGGGACGAAUAAGCAAUGCGAAUAGUUUUGUGUAUGACGGUACCUGUUUAGAAAGCUCCGGCUAACUACGUGCCAGCAGCCGCGGUAAUACGUAGGGAGCAAGCGUUGUCCGGAUUUACUGGGUGUAAAGGGGGCGCAGACGGCGAUGCAAGCCAGGAGUGAAAGCCCCGGUCCCAACCCCGGGACUGCUCUUGGAACU
rnacentral:rRNA from 1 species